rnacentral:rRNA from 1 species
UACGUAGGGGGCAAGCGUUGUCCGGAUUUAUUGGGCGUAAAGAGCGUGUAGGCGGUUUGGUAGGUCCGUUGUGAAAACUCGAGGCUCAACCUCGAGACGCCGAUGGAAACCAUCAGACUAGAGUCCGGAAGAGGAGAGUGGAAUUCCUGGUGUAGCGGUGAAAUGCGCAGAUAUCAGGAAGAACACCCGUGGCUAAGGCGGUUCUCUGGGACGGUACUGACGCUGAGACGCGAAAGCGUGGGGAGCGAACAGG